rnacentral:rRNA from 1 species
GGAGAGUUUGAUCCUGGCUCAGAACGAACGCUGGCGGCGUGCCUAACACAUGCAAGUCGUGCGAGAACGCUCCCUUCGGGGAGCUAGUAAAGCGGCGCACGGGUGAGUAACACGUGGGUAAUCUGCCCUUGAGUUUGGGAUAACCCGGGGAAACCCGGGCUAAUACCAAAUGCGCCCCAGGGGUCUUCGGACGCCUGGGAGAAAGAUGGCCUCUGCUUGCAAGCUAUCGCUCAUGGAUGAGCCCGCGUCCCAUUAGCUUGUUGGUGAGGUAACGGCUCACCAAGGCUCAGAUGGGUAGCUGAUCUGAGAGGAUGAUCAGCCACACUGGAACUGAGACACGGUCCAGACCCCUACGGGAGGCAGCAGUGGGGAAUUUUGGGCAAUGGGCGCAAGCCUGACCCAGCAACGCCGCGUGAGGGAUGAAGGUUUUCGGAUCGUAAACCUCUGUCAGGAGGGAAGAGCAGUCCCAUGGCCAAUACCCAUGGGACCCGACGGUACCUCCAAAGGAAGCGCCGGCUAACUCCGUGCCAGCAGCCGCGGUAAUACGGAGGGCGCAAGCGUUGUUCGGAAUUACUGGGCGUAAAGCGCGUGUAGGCGGUUUGGAAAGUCGGGUGUGAAAUCCCCGGGCCUAACCCGGGAACUGCAUCCGAAACUUCCUGACUAGAGUCCCGGAGAGGAAGGCAGAAUUCCCAGUGUAGGGGUGAAAUCCGUAGAUAUUGGGAGGAAUACCAGUGGCGAAGGCGGCCUUCUGGACGGUGACUGACGCUGAGACGCGAAAGCGUGGGGAGCAAACAGGAUUAGAUACCCUGGUAGUCCACGCUGUAAACGGUGCGUACUAGGUGUCGGGGGUAUUCACCCCUCCGGUGCCGGAGGUAACCUUUUAAGUACGCCGCCUGGGGAGUACGGCCGCAAGGCUAAAACUCAAAGGAAUUG